rnacentral:rRNA from 1 species
UACGGAGGGUGCAAGCGUUAAUCGGAAUUACUGGGCGUAAAGCGUGCGCAGGCGGUUUGUUAAGUCUGCUGUGAAAUCCCCGAGCUCAACUUGGGAAUGGCAGUGGAUACUGGCAGGCUGGAGUAUGGUAGAGGAAGGUGGAAUUCCCGGUGUAGCAGUGAAAUGCGUAGAGAUCGGGAGGAACACCAGUGGCGAAGGCGGCCUUCUGGACCAAUACUGACGCUCAUGCACGAAAGCGUGGGGAGCAAACAGG